rnacentral:rRNA from 1 species
AUGAGUCUCUUAUGCUGGAACUGCCGUGGGAUUGGCAACGCCCCGACAGUUCAAGAGCUACGGGAGAUCGCGGCAAAGUUUGCUCCUAAAGUGCUUUGUUUGGUAGAGACCCAAAUAAGUAGAGCUCGUGUUGAGAAUCUAGCAAACACUUUAGGUUUCGAUAAUGCUUAUGGAGUGGACCCCACUGGUAGAAGUGGUGGACUUGUAAUGCUUUGGCAGAAUGAAAUAAAAUUAGAGUUCUUGGGUUACUCAAAGUACCAUAUAGAUAUGAAAGUUUCAGAUUCGGGAGAGACCCCAUGGAGAUUGUUUUGUUUUUAUGGUGAAGCUCAAACUCACCUUCGUUAUCAAACUUGGGACACCAUGAAGAAUAUGAUAAACAUAAGCCCUCUUCCGUGGCUGUGUUUGGGUGACUUCAACGAGGUCCUGCAUGUGGAAGAGCAUAAUGGGAUUGGACAGCGAAACCAGGCUCAGAUUCAGGGUUUUAGGGACGCAGGGUUUUAG